UACAGAGGGUGCGAGCGUUAAUCGGAAUUACUGGGCGUAAAGCGUGCGUAGACGGCUAUCUAAGUCGGGUGUGAAAGCCCCGGGCUCAACCUGUGAAUUGCAUUCGAGACUGAAUAGCUAGGGUACGGUAGAGGGAAGCGGAAUUUCCGGUGUAGCGGUGAAAUGCGUAGAUAUCGGAAGGAACAUCAGUGGCGAAAGCGGCUUCCUGGACCAGUACCGACGUUCAGGCACGAAAGCGUGGGGAGCAAACAGG
rnacentral:rRNA from 1 species